rnacentral:rRNA from 1 species
UCUCGGCUCUUGCAUCGAUGAAGAACGUAGUGAAAUGCGAUACUUGGUGUGAAUUGCAGAAUCUCGUGAACCAUUGAGUCUUUGAACGCAGUUGUGCCCGAGGCUUUGUGGCCGAGGGCACGCCUGCUUGGGCGUCAUGGCAUCAUCGCCUUUGCUCCUUGCUU